UACGUAGGGCGCAAGCGUUGUCCGGAAUUAUUGGGCGUAAAGAGCUCGUAGGCGGCUUGUUGCGUCGGUUGUGAAAGCCCGGGGCUUAACCCCGGGGUCUGCAGUCGAUACGGGCAGGCUAGAGUGUGGUAGGGGAGAUCGGAAUUCCUGGUGUAGCGGUGAAAUGCGCAGAUAUCAGGAGGAACACCGAUGGCGAAGGCAGGUCUCUGGGCAUUAACUGACGCUGAGGAGCGAAAGCAUGGGGAGCGAACAGG
rnacentral:rRNA from 1 species